rnacentral:rRNA from 1 species
GACGAACGCUGGCGGCGUGCCUAAUACAUGCAAGUCGAGCGGAUGAAAGAGGAGCUUGCUCCUCCUGAUUCAGCGGCGGACGGGUGAGUAACACGUGGGCAACCUGCCCUGUAGAUUGGGAUAACUCCGGGAAACCGGGGCUAAUACCGAAUAAUCCUUCGGACCUCAUGGUCCGAUGUUGAAAGACGGCAUCUCGCUGUCACUACAGGAUGGGCCCGCGGCGCAUUAGCUAGUUGGUGAGGUAACGGCUCACCAAGGCGACGAUGCGUAGCCGACCUGAGAGGGUGAUCGGCCACACUGGGACUGAGACACGGCCCAGACUCCUACGGGAGGCAGCAGUAGGGAAUCUUCCACAAUGGACGAAAGUCUGAUGGAGCAACGCCGCGUGAGUGAAGAAGGUUCUCGGAUCGUAAAACUCUGUUGUGAGGGAAGAACAAGUACCGGAGUAACUGCCGGUGCCUUGACGGUACCUCAUUAGAAAGCCACGGCUAACUACGUGCCAGCCGCCGCCGUAAGAC